UACGGAGGGUGCUAGCGUUGUUCGGAAUCACUGGGCGUAAAGCGCGUGUAGGCGGCCCACUAAGUCUGAUGUGAAAGCCCGGGGCUCACCCCCGGAAGUGCAUUGGAAACUGGUGGACUCGAGUCCCGGAGAGGAGAGUGGAAUUCCUGGUGUAGCGGUGAAAUGCGCAGAUAUCAGGAGGAACACCAGCGGCGAAGGCGGCGCUCUGGGCCGGAACUGACGCUGAGGAGCGAAAGCGUGGGUAGCAAACAGG
rnacentral:rRNA from 1 species